UCCGCUGAGGAUGGCUUUUCUUCAGUGUAAGGAGCUGAAGGAAUAAGGAGAGGGCAAGUCUGGUGUCAGCCGCCGCGGUAAUACCAGCUCUCCGAGUGGUAGGGACGAUUAUUGGGCUUAAAGCGUCCGUAGCCGGCUCAGCAAGUCCUCCGUUAAAUCCAGCGAUUCAAUCGUUGGACUGCGGGGGAUACUGUUGGGCUUGGGGACGAGAGAGGCCGACGGUAUUCUCGGAGUAGGGGUGAAAUCCUAUAAUUCCGGGAGGACCACCAGUGGCGAAGGCUGUCGG
rnacentral:rRNA from 1 species